UUUGUAGUACGUUUAAAUACUAAACAGAGGAGGAGAAGAUGUAUAAAGAAGUACUUAAAAUAACUGCUUCUAAUAGCCUUUAAUACAGACAUUUUGGUCGCCAUCUUUUCACCAGAAAAACUUCCAAACUUCUGCUCAUGGCCACCAGCUUUCAGCCUGUCUCUCUGCUAACAACCUGGAGGUGCACACCUGGCUUGCAUUCUGUACCUACUUCCCUCUGGCCCAACAGCAAACUCAGAGGACAUUUCUUGAUCUCUCCCAGAACCAAGCUGCAAGAAAAAGGAUGGGAAGCUCAGGACACCUCACAACUGUGACACAGGGGCCUUCUGCAACUGGAGACACGGG
rnacentral:lncRNA from 1 species